CGCACACCAAGGUGGUUGCGAUUUGGCUGCCCCACCAGUCAGGUCUGCUGCAGGUCUUGUAGUCGACCAGAGGAAGGUAGGCCUGCUUCAGCUGGGCGGACAGGCUGCCAUCGGCUGGACAAGGUGAAAUUGGAAAGAUUCUGCAGGGCCUGGACUACCUUCACACUUAGUCAGUGUAAAAUCAUCCAAGCCUGAGAACAUCCUGCUGCGUCUGGAGGAGCAGUCCCACAAAGUACCUGCAGGGGAGAGCAGCACCUCCUCUGCACCGAGGGGGGAAAGGCCAGGUCCACAGAUAAACGAAGAAUUCAGAAGGAUCACCACUGUUAACCUGGAAACAACGUUCAUGGCAAAACUGGACCGGUACUCCCCCAAAGUAAUGAGCUUGGCCUCGUCAACGGGGGGGGGGGCUGCAAAAAUGAAGAUCCAGCGGAUAAGGAACAUGCUGCUAGAGGAUGAUUCAGUGGAAAAGAGGAGAGAGGUCGCUAUCCGUUGUCUGGUGGUGUGUCUCCGAGAAAAGGAGGAGGAUCUCUUCAAAGAACACUUGGUAUGUAAAUCAGAUGCUUAAGCUCUGACACACUGUACUUUGUGUUACACUCAAACACAUUGCAGUGAUGCUGGUUUUGAGUGGGUCCCCAAUAAAAUUUGUGUUUUCAAGGUUUUAAUUUAAUUUUUUUUAAAUUAUGGUUACAU